rnacentral:lncRNA from 1 species
GCCAAAUAUGACUGCCUUUUUCCUACCUCUAUCAAAGCUGUGUCUCUCUUUAAGCAGAGGAUGCUUCAGGCCAAUGAAGAUGGAGUUAUGGGGUCCUCCUCAAGGCAAAAGAGUGAAGCACAUCCAUAAACUUUCACCUAUCACCCUCUGUGCUCCAGAUGUUUCCAACACACCGAAUAAUGGAACCACAGGAAACCAACCUACCAGGAACAACGUGAAGGCUCUGUUCACAAGGGGAAUCCAUCCUCUAGCUGGUUUGGACUCUGUCCUUCCCAGGGAGGGUGCAGUGAAUCAGAUGCCACUCAGAAGAAAACAAAACAAACAGACAAUGACAUCAAAACAACAAAGACAUACUGUGAAAAGAUGGCCUAGCCCAGCAGGAUGCUCUCUGAGCCCACAGAAUCUGCAGAGGAGGCGCUUAGCUCAGGGCCAAUGUGGGACCAAGCCUUUGAUGGGAUGUGAGGGAGGUGACUGGUGGGCUCCAGUCUAGGCUCCUCAUGUGCCCUCUCCUAUUGGAGGAAAGAUGUUGCAGGUAGUUCAAGGCAGCAGAGGACGCAGAAGGCCUGGGUGAUGGGUAUAAUUCACUGUCUUUCUCAGUGCUGUGGGACACGCAGUCCAUGGUGUGAGUCCUCAUCUCUCACACAGUUUACCCAGGAGGGAGUCACUUGGGGCAGAGGUGAGGCAGAUGAUCACACUCAUGGGGACUCACUGUCACUUGUGUCUGGACGUCAGUCAUUCAGAUCUCUGUGUGUGUCCUUGCAAAUGCAUGUACAACUCUAAGAGUAUUGCCUGAUGCAAUAAGCAUAUCAUAAAUUCCAGCAGUUCGUAUUAUCCUGGAGACACACACAUAGGAACAUAGACACCCAACGUGUUCAUCCUCAUAAUCAAAGACUUAAAGGUACUUGUGUAUCUUUUUAUCCAUGCACUUGAAUCUAUACUUGCAGAUGUGGAU